AGUUCUGCAUGCUGUGCAGCCAAAAACAAACAAAACAACAAACUAUAAAACUCUUAGAAGGACUUCUGACUCGCUGUGUCCACGAACAAUAUGUCGGACCCACGGAGGCCCAACAAAGUGCUGAGGUACAAGCCCCCACCGAGCCAGUAUAACCCAGUGCUGGAUGAUCCCACACCAGACUACAUGAACCUGCUGGGCAUGAUCUUCAGCAUGUGCCGCCUCAUGCUUAAGCUGAAGUGGUGCGCUUGGGUCGCUGUCUACUGCUCCUUCAUCAGCUCUGCCAACUCCCAGAGCUCUGAGGACACGAAGCAGAUGAUGAGGAGCUUCAUGCUGUCCAUCUCUGCUGUGGUGACGUCAUAUCUGCAGAACCCUCAGCCCAUGACGCCCCCCUGGUGAUAUCAGCCUAGAAGGGACACAUCCUGGACCUCUCUAUCCACCUUGCCCUAGGCCUCACCCGUGGCUGUUCAGGCUCCUACCAUCAGCUGCGGUGCUGGGCUUCCCUGGGCGAUGCAGUCUCUGGGCCUGCAGCUGGACGGAGGGAACCUGGCCCUGACCCUGAGAUCCCACAGCUGCUGGAGCCCAGAGGGGAAAUCCCCUGGGACUACCCUCCUCACCCCCACCUUCUUUUCCUACCCUGCCUGCUCCUGGUGGAGACGCUGUCCAUGUUUCUAUGUGUAUCCACUCAUUUUCUUGUUGAAACCCGUUAAUAAAGUUUUUUGUUCUGGAUGU